AAAAAAACUUUAAACUCCCAAAAGACAUUCUGGCCACUGUUUUAGAGUUUCUGGAAUCUGAUAACACUGAUUCGUGAAUUUCCUUUGCUUUAGGCAUGUUGUUUAACACCAUUCACCUUUAUUAAUUAGUAUUAAAUGACAAUGUUAAGAACACUUAGCCUAGCUCUGGCACAAAGUAAGCUCCAUAAAAAUUAUGUGAGCAGAAAUUAUCUGAGGCUCACGGUAACUGGGUGGCAAUUUGAGAAGAAGGCAACGAAAGUUAAGGGAGAAUGUGUGCACAUAAAUGCAAAAAAGAAUGACCUGAGAAAGUAUCAACUCAGGUGUUUUUCCAACCCUCCAGUCUAGAAAAACCUGGGUUUGAGGUCCCUGGAAGGCAGAAUUUGGCAAAAAAGUCAAAAGGUUACCCUUUGAUUAUGGUCCCGAAGCAAAGGGUAAUCUUGUGAAGCAAGUGACGCUCCAGAAAACAGAUGGAGGGCAAGAACUGAAUACAAAGCAUUUAGGUAGAUGGAGCCAACCCGUUCUGGAAGAAAAAGCUGAAGUGUUUUCCUGAGGAAACGGCAUGGAGAUGAGGGCUAUGCAGGCAGCCUUUUGAAGUGCAUCUGUGGCUAAGUCUGUGGACCAGGUUGUUAAAAUCACUGAAUCAGUUUGACAGUUAUGAAGAUAAGGAAGAAAUGAGCAGAGAAUGGCACGUGUUGAACCUUGCUGAAGAAAUAAAGGGAAGAAUCAUCAUUGGAGUAAUAUAGUAGUUUGAAAAUCUGAAUAAACAUUAGGAUUUCUUCGGCAUACCUUUAAAAUGCAGAGUCCUAGGCCUGUCCCCAUCCUUAAAGAUUCUGAUUGCAUGGGUAUGAAUGAUUAUAAUGUUCAGCCAGAUUUGGGAAACACCAGAUGAAAAUUCAGUUCAAUUAUUAACCUCUGAAGUACAACUUAACUAUAGGAUAUUGUCAAUUUAUAUUAUCUUAAAAAGUAACAUCCUG
rnacentral:lncRNA from 1 species